rnacentral:rRNA from 1 species
CAAUAGCGUAUAUUAAAGCUGUUGCGGUUAAAAAGCUCGUAGUUGGAUUUCUGUCAAGGACAACUGGUCCGCCCCUCGGGUGAGCACAUAGUUUGGUCUUGGCAUCUUGUUGGAAACUGUUGCUGCACUUGGUUGUGUGGCGCAGUGUCCAGCACUUUCACUUUGAGGAAACUGGAGUGUUUCAAGCAGGCACAUGCCUUUGGACACAGUAGCAUGGAAUAAUUAGAUUGGGCUUUUGCUCCAACUUGUCGGUUUCUGGAGCUGAGGUGAGAAUUAAUGGGGAUUGUUGGGGGCAUCCGAAUUUAGCCGUCAGAGGUGAAAUUCUUGGAUCUGCUAAAGACGGACAACUGCGAAAGCGUUUGCCCAGGAUGUUUUCAUUGA